UCGCGAAUCAUUCACAAUGGACGCAAGUCUGAUGAUGCCACGCCGCGUGCGGGAUGAAGGCCCUUUGGGUUGUAAACCGCUGUCAAGGGAGGGGAAACACCUAGUGUUAACAGCGCUAGGCUUGACUGCUCCCUAAAGGAAGCCCCGGCAAAACAUGUGCCAGCAGCCGCGGUAAUACAUGUGGGGCAAGCGUUGUUCGGAAUUACUGGGCAUAAAGGGUGCGUAGGCGGUUUUGUAAGUCAGAUGUGAAAUCCCCGGGCUUAACCUGGGAACUGCGUUUGAAACUACAAGACUAGAGUGUGUCAGAGGGGGGUAGAAUUCCACGUGUAGCAGUGAAAUGCGUAGAUAUGUGGAGGAAUACCGAUGGCGAAGGCAGCCCCCUGGGAUAACACUGACGCUCAUGCACGAAAGCGUGGGGAGCAAACAGGAUUAGAUACCCAAGUAGUCCCUGAGCGGGCUGGCAAGGCGCAU
rnacentral:rRNA from 1 species